CAGUCUUACCUGCGGACAAUCAGCUUUUUGAGUGUGAUUAUGUGGAUUGUGAGGAGUUUAAUCACCCUCAUGUUCUGCAUAUUCGUGCUCUUGGGUGUACUUGCCCGUGCGGUAGGUUAACAUCAAUUUUGGGCGCCGGAAAAGGNUGAGAGGAAUGUGGCAGCUUGCUGUGUUAUAGCCUCUUGUUGUACACGGGUGCCUGGGAUUGGAGGACUGCAG
rnacentral:rRNA from 1 species